rnacentral:rRNA from 1 species
GGUUAAGUUAGAAAGGGCGCACGGUGGAUGCCUUGGCACUAGGAGCCGAAGAAGGACGGGACUAACACCGAUAUGCUUUGGGGAGCUGUACGUAAGCGUUGAUCCAGAGAUUUCCGAAUGGGGGAACCCACUAUCUUUAGUCGGAUAGUAUCCUUACGUGAAUACAUAGCGUGAGGAAGGCAGACCCAGGGAACUGAAACAUCUAAGUACCUGGAGGAAGAGAAAGAAAAAUCGAUUUCCUGAGUAGCGGCGAGCGAAACGGAAAGAGCCCAAACCAAGAAGCUUGCUUCUUGGGGUUGUAGGACACUCUAUACGGAGUUACAAAAGAAAGUUAUAAAUGAAGCGGUCUGGAAAGGCCCGCCAAAGACGGUAACAGCCCGGUAGUUGAAAUGGCUUUCCCUCCAGAGUGGAUCCUGAGUACGGCGGAACACGUGAAAUUCCGUCGGAAUCCGGGAGGACCAUCUCCCAAGGCUAAAUACUCCCUAGUGACCGAUAGUGAACCAGUACCGUGAGGGAAAGGUGAAAAGCACCCCGGAAGGGGAGUGAAACAGUUCCUGAAACCGUGUGCCUACAAGUAGUUAGAGCCCGUUAAUGGGUGAUAGCGUGCCUUUUGUAGAAUGAACCGGCGAGUUACGAUUUGUUGCAAGGUUAAGCGGAAAAAGCGGAGCCGUAGCGAAAGCGAGUCUGAAUAGGGCGCAUAAGUAACAGGUCGUAGACCCGAAACCAGGUGAUCUACCCAUGUCCAGGAUGAAGGUAAGGUAAUACUUACUGGAGGUCCGAACCCACGCACGUUGAAAAGUGCGGGGAUGAGGUGUGGGUAGCGGAGAAAUUCCAAUCGAACUUGGAGAUAGCUGGUUCUCUCCGAAAUAGCUUUAGGGCUAGCCUCGAGGUAAAGAGUCAUGGAGGUAGAGCACUGUUUGGACUAGGGGCCCUUCUCGGGUUACCGAAUUCAGAUAAACUCCGAAUGCCAUGUACUUAUACUCGGGAGUCAGACUGCGAGUGAUAAGAUCCGUAGUCGAAAGGGAAACAGCCCAGACCACCAGUUAAGGUCCCCAAAUAUAUGUUAAGUGGAAAAGGAUGUGGGGUUGCUUAGACAACCAGGAUGUUGGCUUAGAAGCAGCCACCAUUGAAAGAGUGCGUAAUAGCUCACUGGUCGAGUGACCCCGCGCCGAAAAUGUACCGGGGCUAAACAUAUUACCGAAACUGUGGAUGAACCUCUUUAGAGGUUCGUGGUAGGAGAGCGUUCUAAGGGCGGUGAAGUCAGACCGGAAGGACUGGUGGAGCGCUUAGAAGUGAGAAUGCCGGUAUGAGUAGCGAAAGAAGGGUGAGAAUCCCUUCCACCGAAUAUCUAAGGUUUCCUGAGGAAGGCUCGUCCGCUCAGGGUUAGUCGGGACCUAAGCCGAGGCCGAUAGGCGUAGGCGAUGGACAACAGGUAGAGAUUCCUGUACCAGUGCUAAUUGUUUAACCGAUGGGGUGACACAGAAGGAUAGGGAAUCGCACGAAUGGAAAUGUGCGUCCAAGCAGUGAGUGUGAGAAGUAGGCAAAUCCGCUUCUCG